rnacentral:tRNA from 1 species
GCGCCCGUAGCUCAGCUUGGAUAGAGCGUCUGACUACGAAUCAGAAGGCCGGGGGUUCAAGUCCCUCCGGGCGCG